rnacentral:rRNA from 1 species
UACAGAGGGUGCAAGCGUUGUUCGGAAUUAUUGGGCGUAAAGGGCGCGUAGGCGGUGCGGUAAGUCUGCAGUGAAAUCUCUGGGCUCAACUCAGAGUCUGCUGUAGAAACUGCCGUGCUUGAGUGUGGGAGAGGUGAGUGGAAUUCCCGGUGUAGCGGUGAAAUGCGCAGAUAUCGGGAAGAACACCCGUGGCGAAGGCGGCACUCUGGGACGGUACUGACGCUGAGACGCGAAAGCGUGGGGAGCGAACAGG